rnacentral:lncRNA from 1 species
UUGCCGUUGAAGCUGAGUUCUGGAUGAACUCAGGUUCGGCAGCCGAAGGUUCAUUCGGCCGCCGAACCUCUUGCAUGGUGGCUUAGGCUGCCACAGUUUGCCCCCGCGAGUUUUGCAUGUUCGGCUCUGUGUGGGGGAUUCGGCCGCCGAAGGUGCUUGAGUUUCGUCUCUGGAGAGGACUUUCGGCCGCCGAACCUGCCGCCGAAAGUGUCCUGUCCAGCUUUCUUUUGCAUGCUUUGCAUGGUUAUUAGAGUGAAUUUAAG